GCCACAAAAAAUUUGUGGCUAGAGUUUUACGGCUACAAAUAGCUACAAAAAUAGCCACCGUAUUUAAAAAGCAAAACUUGUAGCUAUUAUGUAGAUUUUUGUGGCUAAUUUUGCUACAAACUACACUCAUAGCUUUUUGAGGAUAGUUAGCCACAAUUAGUCACAAAACAGUUUGUAGACGUAAAAAAUCCACUAUUAACCACAAAAUAAUUUGUUGAAGUAUUUAGCCACAAUGUAAUUUGUGGCUAUUUGGAGAAAUAUAGAUCCUAAACUUAUUCUAAACCCUAAACAUACCCUAAAACCAUUUAUCCUAGAUCAUGAAUUGAACUCUUAAAUACAAACGUCAAACGAUAUGAAUAGUAAUAUAUUUUAGAUAUAUAUAUAUAUAUAUACACUAAAUAUAUUUAUUUUUUAUGUUUAGGUUAUAUUUUGAUGUAAAUAUGAACAUGUUGAAAUCAGUGGACCAACCAAUGGAGAAAUAAACUAUUGUUGGUAAAGCUAACUACUUAAGACAUUUGAGGAUCGUGAGGUAUAUACACUUAAACCUUUACACAAUGACUUUUAACUUUUCUUGUUCUUAAUUUGACAUUUUUUUUCAGCAAUUAGUUUUUUUUUUAUGUUCUCUAUGCAGGAACACAAAAAAUAGAAAAAAAAAAUUAUCUUUGACCAAUGAUAUCAAACUACCCAGAUCACAUCCUCUCAUCCAAACCCUCUACUAUAAACCUAAACUCUAUAUACCAAUCCCAAAAUCUAAAACAUCAAACCUAAUCUCAUUUUAAAUCUAUACUACAUAAAUCAUACCUUAAUCUAAUAUUCUGAACCCCAAACUCAAACCCUAGAUAUAAAACCAUGAAUCCAAUAUUUUUAAACUUCAAAUAUAUUAUUUAAACAAACUCAAAUUUUUUUCAUGUAAACAAAUAUAUAAUUAAUAUCUAUUCCAAUCUUUCUAAAUUCCGUAGCGAUAAAUAUAAUUUAAGCAAAGCCAAUUAUGGUAAAGUCAUAUAUAAUUUAAUUGGAUGUUUUACAUAAAAUUUAUUAAAGCCGGUCAUGAAUCUAAUUCAUUAUAUAUGCAAAAAAAAAAAAAAAACUUUGGCCAAAAUUAUAUCCUUCCGCCAAAUUUUUCUUCCUUCCCCGCGCACAUCUUGACCAAAAUUAAAACGAUAAACAAAAAAAAGAAAAAAGAAACUCUUCUAAUUUUUCAUUGGUUGACAAAUUAGCUAAAGGAUUGCUAUCUAGAAUUUUGGACCAUUGAUUAAAUUUGUUCCAAUGGUCAAGAUCACUUUGUGUUUCUUCCUCGUGUCUCUCACUCUCUCUUUUCUUCACAAAGAUCUCAUCUCUCUUUCAUUCCUGAAUCUCAAAUUCUCAAUCACGUUGCUCCAGAUCUUCUUUCUCUCAUAACUCUCUCUUUAACCAUACUACUUGCUCGAGCUUGUUCACCAAAGCUUGUUCAUCACCAAAGCUCAUCACCGUAGCUCGUUUGUCAUCGCCACCACCAAAGGCUCGUCGCUGUCACCACCGAAGCUCUUCGUCCACCACACAUACAAAGAAGAGAAGAGAGGAUGAAGAAGAUCCAGCAAGUUAGAGAGGACGAAGACGAAUACGAUGCUGGAGAGAGACGAAGAAGAUGAAGAAGUUAGCGAUGGGGGAGAGAGCGUGACCAAAGUGGGAGGACGGCAUAUGGUGGCGAGGGUGGAGAUGGACAGCAGAUGGUGGCACCGUCAACUCGAAGCAACGAAGCGGCGGAGAAGACGAUGACCAAUUCUUUUUUUUUUUUAGGUUUAGUUCUUUUUGGGUUAAAUUCUUUAAAAAAAGUCAAUUUGGUUUAGUUUUUUUGUUGUAAUUAAUUUGACUUAGUUUAGUUUGUAAAUGAGUUUCAAUUUGUAAAGUGGGUUUAAUUUAUAAAUAAAAAUUUAUUCGUAAA